AUUGAAUAGUCCCCAUCUACUGAACUACGAUGUCUGUUCUUAUUCAAAAUUAUUUUUAAAGGCAAAACUUCUUUUUAAAAAUAUCUUCCUAAGCCUAGAGACCUCACAGAUAAAGAUGAUGAGCAGAAAAUGUAAAUUAGAGUGUUUCAGACCAGGGAGCUUUUUAGAGGACUAUCUGCAAACCAAGCCUCUGUGAUAUUCUCAGAAGAAUUUUUUUAACAUCCAGCUACUCAGAGCUUUUUCUGCUCCUCUCCUCCAUCAUUGCAAGGUAAGAUUUGUUGUUUGUCCUUCAUUCUUAAAGAACAAUAUGACAUCAAGGAAGUGAAGCUAUGACAUGCAAGUGAAUCAGAUUUAC
rnacentral:lncRNA from 1 species